GGUCAUCAUCAUCUGUGAGUGCCUGAUGUGUGUGUGUUCCCAUGUUCCUGUGUGUGUGUUCCCAUGUUCCUGUGUGUGUGUUCCCAUGUUCCUGUGUGUGUGUUCCCAUGUUCCUGUGUGUGUGUUCCCAUGUUCCUGUGUGUGUGUUCUCAUGUUCCUGUGUGUGUGUUCCCAUGUUCCUGUGUGUGUGUUCCCAUGUUCCUGUGUGUGUGUUCCCAUGUUCCUGUGUGUGUGUUCUCAUGUUCCUGUGUGUGUGGGUUCUCAUGUUCCUGUGUGUGUGUUCUCAUGUUCCUGUGUGUGUGUUCCCAUGUUCCUGUGUGUGUGUUCCCAUGUUCCUGUGUGUGUGUUCCCAUGUUCCUGUGUGUGUGUUCUCAUGUUCCUGUGUGUGUGUUCCCAUGUUCAUGUGUGUGUGUUCCCAUGUUCCUGUGUGUGUGUUCCCAUGUUCCUGUGUGUGUGUUCUCAUGUUCCUGUGUGUGUGGGUUCUCAUGUUCCUGUGUGUGUGUUCUCAUGUUCCUGUGUGUAUGUUCCCAUGUUCCUGUGUGUGUGUUCCCAUGUUCCUGUGUGUAUGUUCCCAUGUUCCUGUGUGUGUGUUCUCAUGUUCCUGUGUGUGUGUUCUCGUGUUCCUGUGUGUGUGGGUUCUCAUGUUCCUGUGUGUGUGUUCCCAUGUUCCUGUGUGUGUGUUCCCAUGUUCCUGUGUGUAUGUUCCCAUGUUCCUGUGUGUGUGUUCUCGUGUUCCUGUGUGUGUGGGUUCUCAUGUUCCUGUGUGUGUGUUCCAAAGUUCCUGUGAGUAUGUUCCAAAGUUCCUUUGUGUGUGUUCCCAUGUUCCUGUGUGUGUGUUCUCAUGUUCCUGUGUGUGUGUUCCCAUGUUCCUGUGUGUGUGUUCCCAUGUUCCUGUGUGUGGGUUCUCAUGUUCCUGUGUGUGUGUUCUCGUGUUCCUGUGUGUGUGUUCUCAUGUUCCUGUGUGUGUGUUCCCAUGUUCCUGUGUGUGUGUUCUCAUGUUCCUGUGUGUGUGUUCCCAUGUUCCUGUGUGUGUGUUCCCAUGUUCCUGUGUGUGUGUUCUCAUGUUCCUGUGUGUGUGUUCCCAUGUUCCUGUGUGUGUGUUCCCAUGUUCCUGUGUGUGUGUUCUCAUGUUCCUGUGUGUGUGUGUUCCCAUGUUCCUGUGUGUGUGUUCCCAUGUUCCUGUGUGUAUGUUCCCAUGUUCCUGUGUGUGUGUUCUCGUGUUCCUGUGUGUGUGGGUUCUCAUGUUCCUGUGUGUGUGUUCCAAAGUUCCUGUGAGUAUGUUCCAAAGUUCCUUUGUGUGUGUUCCCAUGUUCCUGUGUGUGUGUUCUCAUGUUCCUGUGUGUGUGUUCCCAUGUUCCUGUGUGUGUGUUCCCAUGUUCCUGUGUGUGGGUUCUCAUGUUCCUGUGUGUGUGUUCUCGUGUUCCUGUGUGUGUGUUCUCAUGUUCCUGUGUGUGUGUUCCCAUGUUCCUGUGUGUGUGUUCUCAUGUUCCUGUGUGUGUGUUCCCAUGUUCCUGUGUGUGUGUUCCCAUGUUCCUGUGUGUGUGUUCUCAUGUUCCUGUGUGUGUGUUCCCAUGUUCCUGUGUGUGUGUUCCCAUGUUCCUGUGUGUGUGUUCUCAUGUUCCUGUGUGUGUGGGUUCUCAUGUUCCUGUGUGUGUGUUCUCAUGUUCCUGUGUGUAUGUUCCCAUGUUCCUGUGUGUGUGUUCCCAUGUUCCUGUGUGUAUGUUCCCAUGUUCCUGUGUGUGUGUUCUCAUGUUCCUGUGUGUGUGUUCUCGUGUUCCUGUGUGUGUGGGUUCUCAUGUUCCUGUGUGUGUGUUCCCAUGUUCCUGUGUGUGUGUUCCCAUGUUCCUGUGUGUAUGUUCCCAUGUUCCUGUGUGUGUGUUCUCGUGUUCCUGUGUGUGUGGGUUCUCAUGUUCCUGUGUUCCUGUGUGUAUGUUCCAAAGUUCAUGUGUGUAUGUUCCCAUGUUCCUGUGUGUGUGUUCCCAUGUUCCUGUGUGUGUGUUCCCAUGUUCCUGUGUGUGUGUUCCCAUGUUCCUGUGUGUAUGUUCUCAUGUUCCUGUGUGUAUGUUCCAAUGUUCCUGUGUGUAUGUUCCAAAGUUCCUGUGUGUAUGUUCCCAUGUUCCUGUGUGUGUGUUCCCAUGUUCCUGUGUGUAUGUUCCCAUGUUCCUGUGGGUAUGUUCUCAUGUUCCUGUGUGUGUGUUCCCAUGUUCCUGUGUGUGUGUUCCCAUGUUCCUGUGUGUAUGUUCCCAUGUUCCUGUGUGUGUGUUCUCAUGUUCCUGUGUGUGUGUUCCCAUGUUCCUGUGUGUAUGUUCCCAUGUUCCUGUGUGUGUGUUCCCAUGUUCCUGUGUGUGUGUUCCCAUGUUCCUGUGUGUAUGUUCCCAUGUUCCUGUGUGUGUGUUCCCAUGUUCCUGUGUGUGUGUUCCCAUGUUCCUGUGUGUAUGUUCCCAUGUUCCUGUGUGUAUGUUCCCAUGUUCCUGUGUGUGUGUUCCCAUGUUCCUGUGUGUGUGUUCCCAUGUUCCUGUGUGUGUGUUCUCGUGUUCCUGUGUGUGUGGGUUCUCAUGUUCCUGUGUGUGUGUUCCCAUGUUCCUGUGUGUGUGUUCCCAUGUUCCUGUGUGUAUGUUCCCAUGUUCCUGUGUGUGUGUUCUCGUGUUCCUGUGUGUGUGGGUUCUCAUGUUCCUGUGUGUGUGUUCCAAAGUUCCUGUGAGUAUGUUCCAAAGUUCCUGUGUGUGUGUUCCCAUGUUCCUGUGUGUGUGUUCUCAUGUUCCUGUGUGUGUGUUCCCAUGUUCCUGUGUGUAUGUUCCAAAGUUCCUAUGUGUAUGUUCCCAUGUUCCUGUGUGUGUGUUCUCAUGUUCCUGUGUGUGUGUUCUCAUGUUCCUGUGUGUGUGUUCCCAUGUUCCUGUGUGUAUGUUCCCAUGUUCCUGUGUGUGUGUUCCCAUGUUCCUGUGUGUAUGUUCUCAUGUUCCUGUGUGUAUGUUCCAAUGUUCCUGUGUGUAUGUUCCAAAGUUCCUGUGUCUAUGUUCCCAUGUUCCUGUGUGUGUGUUCCCAUGUUCCUGUGUGUAUGUUCCAAAGUUCCUGUGUGUGUGUUCCCAUGUUCCUGUGUGUAUGUUCUCAUGUUCCUGUGUGUGUGUUCUCAUGUUCCUGUGUGUGUGUUCCCAUGUUCCUGUGUGUAUGUUCCCAUGUUCCUGUGUGUGUGUUCCCAUGUUCCUGUGUGUGUGUUCCCAUGUUCCUGUGUGUAUGUUCUCAUGUUCCUGUGUGUAUGUUCCAAUGUUCCUGUGUGUAUGUUCCAAAGUUCCUGUGUGUAUGUUCCCAUGUUCCUGUGUGUGUGUUCCCAUGUUCCUGUGUGUAUGUUCCCAUGUUCCUGUGUGUGUGUUCCCAUGUUCCUGUGUGUGUGUUCCCAUGUUCCUGUGUGUGUGUUCAAAUGUUCCUGUGUGUAUGUUCCCAGGUUCCUGUGUGUGUGUUCUCAUGUUCCUGUGUGUGUGUUCCCAUGUUCCUGUGUGUAUGUUCCCAUGUUCCUGUGUGUGUGUUCCCAUGUUCCUGUGUGUGUGUUCCCAUGUUCCUGUGUGUAUGUUCCCAUGUUCCUGUGUGUGUGUUCCCAUGUUCCUGUGUGUGUGUUCCCAUGUUCCUGUGUGUAUGUUCCCAUGUUCCUGUGUGUAUGUUCCCAUGUUCCUGUGUGUGUGUUCCCAUGUUCCUGUGUGUGUGUGUUUGUGUGAGUGUAUGCCCUCCGUGUGUGUGUGUGUGUGUUCUGGUGUAUGCAUGAGUAAGUCACACAUUUAUUCAUGUGUGAGCGUCUACUGUAUAUUCCCACACUCACAGAGUUGGUGCGAGUAUAUUCAAAUGAAUCCCAAAGCUGGAUAAAUGACUCUCUAUUUCAUUCAGCUUUAAUAAUCAGUGUUCAUUAUCUGUGUUAAAGGUCUUUAGUGUUAAAGGUGUUUAGUGUUAAAGGUGUUUAGUGUUAAAGGUCUUUAGUGUUAAAGGUGUUUAGUGUUAAAGGUCUUUAGUGUUAAAGGUGUUUAGUGUUAAAGGUCUUUAGUGUUAAAGGUCUUUAGUGUUAAAGGUCUUUAGUGUU
ensembl:lncRNA